CAUUCCCACCUGAACCUGAGCAUAUAAAAUCUGGGUUUGGGGCCUUCUGGCAACACUUAACAGAUCCAGGGCAGGAGCAGGACUCCAAGAGGACUGUGACCACCGCUGUUGACAAGACUGCUCCCAUCACUUGGACAGGACUGUGUCCACCACUCUGACCAACAGGAUUUCCCACUCCCAAACCUUGGCCAGAUGGAGGAGGAGGCUGUGAGGAAGAGGAAGAUGCCCCGGAACACCCAGGCAGACAAGGAGCUGAGGACAGAGCCCAGGG